CAUAUUCAGCCCUUAGGUGGGCCUGAGACACUCUAAAUGAUUUUGGCAUUAAUUUUUGACACUGCAGUUUGUUGUAUGAUUUGUUUUGUUCUAUUUAUAGUAGGUUGAUUCAUGAGAGCUUAGCAUAGUCUUGAGCUGGAUGUUAUAAAGUGGUUACAUCAGACAUAUGAAUGUUAUAGAGUGAUUGAUUUUAGUACAGUGUUAUGCUUACAGUGAUCCUUGGGCCAAAAUAUUAAUUAAUUUUGUCUAGAGAGAGUUCUAGUUCUUCCAUUCCAGGGACGUAAAAAAAUACAGAGAAGAUCUGAAAAAGGAUCAGUGUCGAUUGGAGGACUGGGAAAGUAUGACCCUGGAAAGAAAAAGUGAUAACCAUUCAAACUUAUGUGUAAAGACAGGGAAAGUUCAAAGAGAUAAAGAAAGAAAAUUUGCACCUGAGUUUCAGAAUAAUUAUAUUUCUGCAAGCUUUAUGAUUAGCUUUUUCUUGGUACUGCAAAAAAAAAAAAAAAAAGAGAGAGAAAAAUAAGAAAAGAAAAAAAAAGAAAAGAAAAGAAAAGAAAAGAAAAGAAAAGAAAAGAAGAGAAGAGAAGAGAAGAGAAGAGAAGAGAAGAGAAGAGAAGAGAAGAGAAGAGAAGAUAAAAGGUUAAUUUCGAAUGUGUACUCCUUUCAUUCUAAGUCAACAACAACAACAAAAUCUAUUUGAAAGGGCUAUUAAGAGGUCAUGGAGGCAAUAUUCUGCUGAAAGAGAAUUAACAGCAGUGGAACCAUAAAGCUGCUGCUCCUCCAGAGGAAGACAAGACUUUGAAAAUCACCUUGAAACUCAAUAAUAAAGAAAGGAGAGUAGAUAUCAAGAAGCUACAGUAUUCUGAGAAAUAAAAAGUGAUACUUUGUCCUUUGGUGAUGGUGGUAUGGCAGACAAGUGAAUGACAUUUUCUUUACCAUGGGCUACUAGAGACAGAAGAAAGGAUCUCUGCCCACCACUCUUCUGAGAAGCCACCCAAAUUAACUUAAUUCUGGUCAUUCAUGGUCAUUCAAGAGAAUAACUCCUAUCUCAUCUUAUCCCUCUGUGCUGCUUAAUAACAAAGGAUUAUGGAAUAAAUCCUGGAAUUCUGGCAUUUAACCCAAAAGACAUAAUAUGCUUAUUAUCUUACAGAAAGAUUUUUUUGUUUUUGUUUUUGUUUUGAGAACUGGCUGGAGUGGUCCAAAAUCAAAAAAUGAGGGUAACAGGUAGAACUGAGUAUCAGUGAUUCAAUACUCAGUCUACUUCAUCCUUUUUAUUUAAGAGUAUGUAUGCAUUCAGUAUUGUUCCUGAAGCUAUGAGAGAAAGAAAAAAAAUUAAUGAAAACUGUCUUCAUGAUUCAGUUUUUGACUUUUCCUGUAAAAUUUAUCUUCUCCAUCUACAUUUCAAAAAGGGGUUUAGAUAUGAUGACACACAGAGCUACAGUAUUUAAAUCUAGGGGCUGAUUUUCAAGAGCAGUAUUCACUAUGCAGUGUUUCUAACGUCUGAGAUAAUUAUAUUUUUUGGAAGAAGAGCACACAUGAAUGACACAAAAUCCAUCAUGUUCACAGAUGUCAAUUAGUCAAUAGAAAAAAAGACAAAAUGAAAAUGUAACUUCCACUUUUUCAGGUAUAUGGAAUUUUUUAACCCUUGUAAGAGGCAGAAUCCUUUUUGAUGUUAGUAAGAAUCCAGUUUCAUGAAUAUUUAUCUUAAGAAAAAUAUAAAACAAAGCAUUUGGGGUGUGGAAAGCUUUCAAAGUGUGAUCUUAUUCAUAAGACACAUAUCUAUGUUGAUUUUCAGAGAUUCUGAGCUGCUUCUAAUGAGUUUAAUGAUAUCUGUUGCUUCUGCAAUGAACAUGGGAGGUGUGAGUACAUACCUGUCUGUGGGUGAAGGAGAAAAGGGUUAAGUCAUCAUUCAUUCCUUGGAAUAAAGGAAGUCAUUUUAAAAUUUUCUGACAAGCCAAAAGUUGAAUGAUAGGCCUGAACCUGCCUAUUGAAAUGAAGAGUUCAACAGAAAUGCAGUCUUUCAUCAUCAUGAAAGAAAAAGAGGUUAUGAAAAAUUAUUUAUUGCUGCUAUGUUAUAGAAUCAUAGAUUCAUAGAAUAGCUUGGGUUGGAAGGGACCUUAAAGAGUAUUUAGUUGCAAGCACCCUGCUGUGGGCAGGUUUCCCAACAGGUGGUCCACAAUCCCAUCCAGCCUGACUUUGAACACCUCCAGGGAUGGGGCAUCCACAGCCUCUCUGGACAGUCUGUUCCAGUGGCUCACCGCCCUCUGAGUAAAAAAAAUCUCUUCCUAACAUCCAAUCAAAAUUUUCCCUCUUUAGUUUAAAACCAUUCCUCUUUGUCCUACCACUAUCUGACCAUGCAAAAAGUCAGCCAUGUUUCUUUGAUUCUGGGAAUUUAUGCAUUAUAUGUUAUAUGACAUUAAUUAUCAGUUUUGGAAGCCUGUCUUAAUGUUUGAAACAAAAAGAAAAUCUACUCACCUAGCCUCUGUAUUUCCCAAACUAAGGAAUACAUUAGAAAAGACACAAGAUUCUGUGAAAAACAGGAUGCAGAUGGGCAUCCCUGCUUCCUCUUAUCUGCUGGCAAGGCCCGGAAGAUGAUAACAAAGGAAUUUCUGCUGAGAUCCCAGAGGCAGUAGCUGCCACUCCAAGGAGAGCUGACUCAACCACUUUGGAUUCGAGCUGUCACUCAAAAGAGAGCUGACUCGACCACUUUGGACUUAUAAAUAAGUUUGUACUGCCAUCGUUGUCGUCAUCGCUGUGGUCACCAUUGUCAACAGAACACCAGAUGACCCACCACUACUGAAGAUCAAUGACUGAACUACGAACCACGUUGGACCAUGGUGGUGACUAUCUCCCUCCUGCUUCCUAUACGGACUCCUUGCUCCUAUUUCCUAUCUUUUCUAUCGCCCUUCUCCCCUUCCCCAUCUCCCUGAACGACUAGGAUUUGUAAUACACUGGUCAGACCAACAUUUGAACCGUUGUUUGUUAAUCUCAUGCCAGGUAUACACACAUCAAAGAACCUCAUCUCCCUCCGAUAAAUUGGAGAGAGACAAUCAUUUUAUGCUUUUACAGUAUCACAUUAAAAUAAAACAAAAGAAAACUUAUACUGUAUGGAAUGCUGAGGAUAGUCACAAAUAGUCUAUUUGUACUGGCUAGAAAUAAUAAAUACAGUAUUUCU
rnacentral:lncRNA from 1 species